rnacentral:rRNA from 1 species
GAUGAACGCUGGCGGCGUGCCUAAUACAUGCAAGUCGAGCGAACGGACGAGAAGCUUGCUUUUCUGAUGUUAGCGGCGGACGGGUGAGUAACACGUGGAUAACCUACCUAUAAGACUGGGAUAACUUCGGGAAACCGGAGCUAAUACCGGAUAAUAUUUUGAACCGCAUGGUUCAAAAGUGAAAGACGGUCUUGCUGUCACUUAUAGAUGGAUCCGCGCUGCAUUAGCUAGUUGGUAAGGUAACGGCUUACCAAGGCAACGAUGCAUAGCCGACCUGAGAGGGUGAUCGGCCACACUGGAACUGAGACACGGUCCAGACUCCUACGGGAGGCAGCAGUAGGGAAUCUUCCGCAAUGGGCGAAAGCCUGACGGAGCAACGCCGCGUGAGUGAUGAAGGUCUUCGGAUCGUAAAACUCUGUUAUUAGGGAAGAACAUAUGUGUAAGUAACUGUGCACAUCUUGACGGUACCUAAUCAGAAAGCCACGGCUAACUACGA